rnacentral:rRNA from 1 species
CCUACGGGUUGCAGCAGGCGCGAAACCUUCACAAUGUGCGAGAGCGCGAUGAGGGGAUCCCACGUGCUAGCUCGAAAGGGUUAGCUGUUGCUUUGUCUAAAAAGCAGAGUGAGUAAGGGCUGGGUAAGACGGCUGCCAGCCGCCGCGGUAAUAGCUGCAGCCCGAGUGGUGACCACUAUUAUUGGGCCUAAAACGUCCGUAGCCGGCCUGGUAAAUACCUGGGUAAAUCGUGUAGCUUAACUAUACGAAUUCCGGGUAGACUGCCAGGCUUGAGACCGAGAGAGGCUAGAGGUACUCCUGGGGUAGAGGUGAAAUUCUGUAAUCCUGGGGGGACCACCAGUGGCGAAAGCGUCUAGCCAAAACGGGUCUGACGGUAAGGGACGAAGCCCUGGGUCGCAAACCGGAUUAGAUACCCUUGUAGUC